rnacentral:lncRNA from 1 species
UUCAGAGAAUCUCAUUUAUCUGUAUAAGAUACUGCUUCAUUAAUCUGAAGAGUCUUAUUUAUUUUAGAGAUACUGCUCUAGUAUCCUCGAAGAGCUUUAGGUUCAAUUAAGGUAUCACUCCCUUGUUUGGAAUAUCUUAAUUCUAUCAUAUAAGAUGAUGUUUCGUUGAUUCAGAGAAUCUCAUUUAUUUGCAUAAGAUAUUGUUUCAUUAAUCAG